UACGGAAGGUCCGGGCGUUAUCCGGAUUUAUUGGGUUUAAAGGGAGCGUAGGCCGGAGAUUAAGCGUGUUGUGAAAUGUAGACGCUCAACGUCUGCACUGCAGCGCGAACUGGUUUCCUUGAGUACGCACAAAGUGGGCGGAAUUCGUGGUGUAGCGGUGAAAUGCUUAGAUAUCACGAAGAACUCCGAUUGCGAAGGCAGCUCACUGGAGCGCAACUGACGCUGAAGCUCGAAAGUGCGGGUAUCGAACAGGAUUAGAUACCCGGUAGUCCGGCUGACGC
rnacentral:rRNA from 1 species